AAGCCAUUAUCAACAGCCACAAGGCAGGCUAAUGCAGGAAAUGUGCAUACAAGAACAAGUUUAAUCACUAAAGUACUGUCCAGAUUUAAAGAAGCAUGGCUAGGAAACAAGACAACCAGUUUCUCAGAAUAUAAGAAGUAAGCAGCCUGUUCACAAAGUUUAGCCUUGUUCUAUGUGUUUGAGGGGAGACAGAAAAAGGAGAGAAAUAUCUUUCAAUUAUGUUAGUGUCUUGGUGGGAGGGUACAUGUGAAAAUAGCUUUGUUUUGCUUUUCUGCACAUAAAAAAUACGUUUGAGACACAAUUCAUCAUAAGUGCUAUUUGAAGAAAUAUACUUUUAUGCUAUGAUAAUCUUAGUUAAGCAAAUACAUGUGUUUACAUUAUGAGAAAUGUGCUUGCAGAGUUUAAGACAGCUGAAACUAAAGCUUUGACCACCACCAAACUCUUGGUGUACAGACCUUGACAGACGAACAAAAAGAAGUGCCUGUCACUUCCAUGUGGGCCUAAUCUAUCACCCCAGCAGUGAGGGUUUACCUGUAUUUCUUGUUCAUUGAGUGCUUGUGUUGUCAGCAUCACAGCAUGUUUUUUUUUUCCAUUUAUUUCUUGAUUUUCCUAGUUCAAAAUGAAUAUUUUAACAGGUUGCUGGAUUUGGUGGUUCGUCCUGGUCCUUCCCACUCUGUGGCCCAGGAUGAGACCCAGCAGCAGUCCCCGUGCAGAGCUUCCACUUCUUUUGUGGCAUCCAGCCCCCCGAGAGCAAACACACAUCACUCCAGCUCCCAAAACAAUCUGCCAGGAGCAUCAGAACUGAAUGUACUGGAAACUCCUCUUGUGGUCAAGGUUACUGAAGACAGUGCAGUGACAGCAUAAACUUAAGAAGCAGCACCUAAAAGCCCCACCAUAUAGUGAUCUACAUCCAUAAGGCAAUAUUCAACACAGCUAUGAGACUACAAAGCAUGAAUCUGUAUGUGAUUUGCCUCAGAAAAAUAAAGGUCAGUGUGAUACAGCUGAGGGACA
rnacentral:lncRNA from 1 species